rnacentral:tRNA from 1 species
GCUAUCAUAGCUCAGUAGGUAGAGCGCCACAUUGGUAAUGUGGAGGUCGGGGGUUCAACUCCCCCUGUUAGCUCCA